rnacentral:rRNA from 1 species
AUUGAACGCUGGCGGAAUGCUUUACACAUGCAAGUCGAGCGGCAGCGCGGCCUUCGGGCUGGCGGCGAGCGGCGAACGGGUGAGUAAUGCAUCGGAACAUGCCCAGUCGUGGGGGAUAACACUUCGAAAGAAGUGCUAAUACCGCAUACGUCCUGAGGGGGAAAGCGGGGGAUCGCAAGACCUCGCGCGAUUGGAGUGGCCGAUGUCAGAUUAGCUAGUUGGUGGGGUAAAGGCCUACCAAGGCGACGAUCUGUAGCUGGUCUGAGAGGAUGAUCAGCCACACUGGGACUGAGACACGGCCCAGACUCCUACGGGAGGCAGCAGUGGGGAAUUUUGGACAAUGGGGCAACCCUGAUCCAGCCAUUCCGCGUGAGUGAAGAAGGCCUUCGGGUUGUAAAGCUCUUUCGGCAGGAACGAAACGGUGGGCUCUAACAUAGUCCGCUAAUGACGGUACCUGAAGAAGAAGCACCGGCUAACUACGUG